GAUGAAGAACGCAGCGAAAUGCGAUAAGUAAUGUGAAUUGCAGAAUUCAGUGAAUCAUCGAAUCUUUGAACGCACAUUGCACCCCCUGGUAUUCCGGGGGCAUGCCUGUUCGAGCGUCAUUUCACCACUCAAGCCUCGCUUGGUAUUGGGCAACGCGGUCCGCCGCGUGCCUCAAAUCGACCGGCUGGGUCUUCUGUCCCCUAAGCGUUGUGGAAACUAUUCGCUAAAGGGUGUUCGGGAGGCUACGCCGUAAAACAACCCCAUUUCUAAGGUUGACCUCGGAUCAGGUAGGGAUACCCGCUGAACUUAAGCAUAUCAAUAAGCGGAGGA
rnacentral:misc_RNA from 1 species